UAGCGGCAGGCUUAACACAUGCAAGUCGAGGGGUAACAGGGAAGCUUGCUUCCGCUGACGACCGGCGCACGGGUGCGUAACGCGUAUAGAACCUACCUUUUACAGAGGAAUAGCCUUUAGAAAUGAAGAUUAAUGCCUCAUAGUAUUGUAGACUGGCAUCAGUUUACAAUUAAAGAUUUAUCGGUAAAAGAUGGCUAUGCGUCCUAUUAGCUAGAUGGUAAGGUAACGGCUUACCAUGGCAACGAUAGGUAGGGGCCCUGAGAGGGGGAUCCCCCACACUGGUACUGAGACACGGACCAGACUCCUACGGGAGGCAGCAGUGAGGAAUAUUGGGCAAUGGAGGCAACUCUGACCCAGCCAUGCCGCGUGCAGGAAGACUGCCCUAUGGGUUGUAAACUGCUUUUAUACAGGAAGAAACACCCCCUCGUGAGGGGGCUUGACGGUACUGUAAGAAUAAGGACCGGCUAACUCCGUGCCAGCAGCCGCGGUAAUACGGAGGGUCCAAGCGUUAUCCGGAAUCAUUGGGUUUAAAGGGUCCGCAGGCGGUCAAUUAAGUCAGAGGUGAAAUCCCAUAGCUCAACUAUGGAACUGCCUUUGAUACUGGUUGACUUGAGUUAUACGGAAGUAGAUAGAAUGUGUAGUGUAGCGGUGAAAUGCAUAGAUAUUACACAGAAUACCGAUUGCGAAGGCAGUCUACUACGUAUAUACUGACGCUCAUGGACGAAAGCGUGGGGAGCGAACAGGAUUAGAUACCCUGGUAGUCCACGCCGUAAACGAUGGACACUAGUUGUUGGGCAUUAGCUCAGUGACUAAGCGAAAGUGAUA
rnacentral:rRNA from 1 species